rnacentral:sRNA from 25 species
GUUGCCGCAAAAUCGGCAGCCGGGCGUAGGAACCCGUGUUAUCUGAAGGCGAUACUACACGCGCCAGGCGUGUUUUUU